rnacentral:rRNA from 1 species
CGAACGCUGGCGGCAGGCCUAAUACAUGCAAGUCGAACGGCUCUUCGGAGCAGUGGCGGACGGGUGAGUAACGCGUGGGAAUGUGCCCUUUGGUACGGAACAACACAGGGAAACUUGUGCUAAUACCGUAUGUGCCCUUCGGGGGAAAGAUUUAUCGCCAUUGGAGCAGCCCGCGUUGGAUUAGGUAGUUGGUGAGGUAAAGGCUCACCAAGCCUACGAUCCAUAGCUGGGCUGAGAGGAUGACCAGCCCAACUGGGACUGAUACACCGCCCAGACUCCUACGGGAGGCAGCAGUAGGGAAUCUUGCGCAAUGGGCGAGAGCCUGACGCAGCCAUGCCGCGUGUAUGAUGAAGGUCUUAGGAUUGUAAAAUACUUUCACCGGGGAAGAUAAUGACGGUACCCGGAGAAGAAGCCCCGGCUAACUUCGUGCCAGCAGCCGCCGUAAAAC